GAUCUUCAGGGCAGGGUGCAAUUCCCUACCGGCGGUACAGCCCGCGAGCCGCAAGGCAUGAUCCGGUGAGAUUCCGGAGCCGACAGUAUAGUCUGGAUGGGAGAAGAUG
rnacentral:ncRNA from 1 species